UAAAGUCCUCUUGUUGAUCCCAAGUUGGUCCUUUGGGACCAACCCCAGUAAAUCCAGUAGCCGUCCCAAAAUGGAGAAGCCGAACAGUUAUUGUUCAUUCUUUUACCCCCAUUUUCUUUUGAUAUUAGCGUGAAUAAAGCUAAUAUGUAUUUUUACUUAAUCCGAUAGCAUUAUAGGCGGACUUGACAAACUUUGCACAUUUCUCUGAAGAAAAACUCGCAAGUGCAUCAAUCCUUGUGGUAUAGUGCAGUGGCCGCUGUCAUGUUAUGCUGGGCCCACUAUCUCUGUGCUGAAUGCGGUCGCACGAAAGACGAACAGUAUUAUAACGUUUAAACAACUGAUUCACAAAAACAUUGCUUCCCAUAGAUUCCGCCAUGUGCGUUCUAUGAGGCACCAUUGUACAUACAUGAAACAUCUAGGCCUUUCAAACUUGAAAGAAUGGUAUCGCAUACAUUAACAAUUAGCGGCAGCUAAAUUUUGCCCGAAUUUCGCAAAGUUCAUAAUCAAUUACUUCUUUCCUUCUGGGCUGGAGCUCAUGAGGAUGUCGCCAAGCGAUAGCCUGCAAGCACCGCAAGUGCGUUGACAAGGGUGUGUCUCUCAUCAGAGGUUGUUGUGCACGGACUACUGUAGAGAACAAGUUUUCGGGCAAUGGGGCGUGUAAAUGGUCCUGGUAUAAACUGACAAAGUGAUCUCGUUUUGUUUACACUACAUAUAUAGUUUGCGCUGUUUUCUUAUGGACUUUGUGAAAUAGGCCAUAUUUCCGACUUCGAAUCCCUAAUGGUAUUACAACACACUCACCCGUUUUCCAAGGAAACACAGGCACGUGCUAGUCUUACUUGAAUAUAACAAUUAAGAAGAACUACUUUUUAAGCCGUUUCCAUAAAAACCUACUUGGAAUGUAAACAAAGCCAUUAGGGCACUUUGAAAUAUGGUGGUGGUAACGAUGUUGCUACAGGCGCGGUUAGCUUGCCAGUUCCGGCUGCGAAAUGCUCCUCCUGAGCGCUCCUUUCUGCGGUACUGGCGUGAACUUCGGACAUAUUCUGCAUGCGCUACUUCGCCUGCGGCACCGCCGCCACUAGAGAAUGCGCUAUGCGGAAGCCAUGCUUCCCGUGUUCACGCUUCCCUUCUGAACAACCAUGAUCUGAUAGUUAAUGCUGACAAAAGUAAUGGAAGGACAUGCUUCACAGAUCUCUGGCUGUCCUAGCACAAACUUAGGACGGGGACAAGCACAAUAGUUGAAGAAGCUGCUGGUCUUCGCUGAAAAUGCUUGGGUAGACUGGCAGCGGCGGCAGCAUUGGAGACACACGGCUCACGCUUGCGUGUCGUAUUUUGGUCCUUACAGAUGCCUACAAUCGAGAUGACAACAAUUCUGCGUUGACCAAAGCCGCGCGACUGCGCACGUCUUCCCAUCGGACAUCGUGAUCUACGAUCGACAGCAGCCGUGACGCCCACUACGAACAGCUCCGGAUAAAAGGGGAUGCUGGCACCUUGAAGCUUCACUGGCAGCGGCGGCAGCAUUGGAGACACACGGCGCACGCUUGCGUGUCGUAUUUUGGUCCUUACAGAUGCCUACAAUCGAGAUGACAACAAUUCUGCGUUGACCAAAGCCGCGCGACUGCGCACAUCUUCCCAUCGGACAUCGUGAUCUACGAUCGACAGCAGCCGUGACGCCCACUACGAACAGCUCCGGAUAAAAGGGGAUGCUGGCACCUUGAAGCUUCACUGGCAGCGGCGGCAGCAUUGGAGACACACGGCUCACGCUUGCGUGUCGUAUUUUGGUCCUUACAGGUGUCACAUCAAGCCAAAAAUGAAUGCCAAGGUGAUCCUUGCAGUACUGACUGUUUACGGUCUACUUGUUGCAGGCACGUCAGCCUGCGACGGUCGGUGCCGCUCCGAGUCAGGAAGAUGCGGUUGCGGCGAGGACCGCAGCGAACAACGAGCUGCCGAGGCUCGCCAGGACAGCGUUGCGAUUUCCAGCGAGUCAGCUCGCUGCGGUGGCCAAUCCAGUCGCUGCGAUGGCUAGCGGCGUCUUCAGAUACGCAGCUACUUCCACGCAAACCAACAGUAUUUCGCCAACUGAAGCGGUGUGGUUUCAAGUCACUGAAGGGAAUGGUUUCGAAAUAAAUUGACAUUGCUUGCAUUGUGGCUUUGUUUGUUUUAAUAGCCCACUGCCUCCAAAAUGUAGAGGAAUGUUCACAGAUGUACUGCAAAUAGGUACGAAAUGCGUGUCCUCAUGCAUUUUUUAAUCCCAGGAGCAACUGUGGCAAAUUACGAUGCAGUUCACCCCACAUGGGCACGCAGCGCUGAAACUUCGCUUGCUAACAACAGCACCGUAACACACGGCGUAGCCAACGGUGGAAACAGUUUCCAAACACU